UGGGGUAGGAAUGGAAGUCAGGAAAGGAAUAAGCCCUGGAGUGUUGGAGCAAAACCAAGAUCUUAGGCCAGGGUUUCAGGGGUGGGGAAGGGGGAAGUGACAGAAAAGAAGGUGGGGUCAGUGAAAGCCAGGCCUAGAGGGCAGGCCCAGUCUUCACUCCUAGUAGUCUCGAGGAAGUUCUAGCUUUAGAAAGGAAUUUGGACUAUUUACAUUUUUGAGGAUAAAUCCUUCUUGCUAGUGAAUGGCCAUUACUAUUUGCCAAUCUGAUAUCUGAAAAACUGAAUCUUCUGGCUUUAGCACACGUUUUUCUUAUUGAGAUUUUAUUUCUAUGUCACUGAAUAUCCUUAAAGUCGAAGAGAAAUGAAAACUGAAGAGAUAUUUGCAUGGCAUAGCUGGUGAAUCUAAUUUUGUUCGCAGCUUGCCAGAAGUGGCUUAAAUUCUUUUUACCGUCCUUGCUGUGGAAAUCUGAAACAUGGAUUCAGGGUGUGUGUCUCAAAAACUGUGGCCGUCUGUAAAGGAUGUCUAUACCACACUUUUGACAUUUUGUUGUUCUGCAUAGAGGGUUUAUCGGGCAGCCCAAAACCAAUUGGGAGAGCGAGUGGAGCAGCGAGGUUGAAAGAUCCUCCAUCACCCUGAGCAAUAGAAACUGCAGGCUUUAGUUGAAAGACAGAGGUGCCAAAGUGAGGAAACAGACAGGAAGCCUCAGGGGUUAGUCGCUUUCCACAGGGCACAGUGGGAAGUGAACUUUCCCCUUAUCUCUUCUAAAUCUAGAUAGGCUCAACAACUGUUAGGGGCAGAUGAAUGGAAGGAUAAGAGAUGUUCACACCAAUUCCUGGAGUAGGGAGGGAGAGGAACCAGGAGAAGGGGAAGAAAGGGGGAGGGGAGGAGGGCGAGGGGAAGCACAGAGCAGCGGACCUUAGAAGAAUCGCUCAAGGUCACACCGCGGGAUGGAGCUGAAAGCCGAAUUCAAAUCCAAGCCCGGGACUGCAGGACUGAAAGUUCUAGAUAGAGCCACACAAACGUGCUCUCUUCUCUCUUCUUGACUCAGCAGCUCUCGCUUGGCCACGGGGCGGUGGGAAUCACACUUCCUGGGCCUUUCUAGCCGGGAGUUUGGGGUCCCUUGUUUUUCCUGGACUUAUUUGCCGCACUCCGGGCUUUGGCUUCCUCCUCCCUGCUUCCCAGAGCAGAAUCCGGAGCCACCUAUUCUCUCCAAGUUUGUCUCGCAGCCAGGCUGGGAACCGUGCGCGAGCGACUCCCGGACCCGGCAAUCAGUCUUCCCUGCCCCAGCGUCGGAGACGAACAAUCACCACCAGCGGCUGCUGAGUGCUAGACGCUUUACUCCCACAGCUCCAAAAGCCACAGACGAGCAGACCCCCAGAAAUUAGUCCUCGCCACUCAGAUGAGGCAGCUCUGCGAAAUUGGAUGAUGUGCUUGGACUCACAAGGCUAAUAACGCUAGGAGAGCAGCGGUUUCAAACCUACAGUACCAGAGGCUGACCUCAACGCAACGCCCGAGGCUGGGCGCAAACCAACCAGUUCGGAAUGCCAUAAUUCACAGAGACAUUCCCACGGACCGGAACCAGAGAGUCCCCCAAGAGCACCGAGUGUGACCGGUACUGGCGGACGAUCACCCCUUAGCAGGAGCUGGAGAACACUUACCAUAAAAGAGAGGGCGAGCGCCUGCCUGGGAGGAAUCCCCAGCGCUGGCAGGUCCGGGACUCCCGGGAGAGAGGUCUGCUGCCACUGCCGCCCACGCAGGGGCGCCCGAGCGACCCCGCGGAUGCUGGCUGCUGCUUCUCAACCAGCGGCGCGUCCUCUCGACUUGUAUCCGGCGGCAGCGCCCUCUCGCUCCGCAGGGUGCCCUGGAGUUAGGGACGUUCUUGGAGAAGUUGACGCUCGGGAGAGGCCGCCGAGGUCCGGUCCCGAGUAGUGAAGUGCCCCACUGCGCUGAUCUCAGCGAGAUGCGGAAGCCCUUGCCCUGAUGGCCCUAAAGCUUGGCGCCUGACCUGGAGAGCGACGAGUCCCGCGCUCAGGGCACACGGGCCGCACCUCGGCCGCCCGUCCCCGGAGCACCGGGUUUCUUCCCUAGAGCACUGAGCACACGCCGCGAGGGCUGCAGUGGUGGCCAGGGCCCGGGCAGCUGUGCGCUCAUUGCCUUCCCCAGGGGCUGAGCGCCUUUGUGCGCCGGGCGCGCCGACCGCCAGGGCCAGCUCUGGAUGCUGCAGCCGCCGCCUCCCCCUCCUCCUCCACGGCCGCUCGCUCC
rnacentral:lncRNA from 1 species